CACUGAAAAAAGUCAGUCUAAGAAUAUGUCGUUUUAACAUAAUGAAGCCUGUGGUAAUAACAGUUAAAAACAAACUUUGUCUCUUGACAUUAAUAUAUUAUGUUUUGAAUUCAUCUAUAUUUAGAUGAUUUAAAUUUUUGUUAUUAGUGGUUCAACAAAUCUGCUCAUGAAGACCAACACAACAAACAAUUUGCUCGUUGUAUUUACUCUGCUUCAACUGAGGCACAAAACAAGAAAUUGGAAAAGAUGGGAGGCUGGACUUUAAGGUGCUGCUGGUAUUUGGUGGGGAUUUCUGGUCUUUAGCUGCCCUCUCGUCCCGCUCCUAGGCUUCUUUGUGCAGCGGAGAGGGAAGUGGGCUGCGGAGGGGAAACUUGCGCGCAACCUGUUGCGAGCGGCUCACUAAUUGCCAUGGGACGCUGCCAAGUGCUCCAGUGACAGAUGUUUCAGCUGGAUGGCUGCUAAUGAAGAUCGGCUGGAAAACAUCCACUGGACUAUCCUCUGGAGGGCUCCCAUGAUUCAUUAUGCCUGCGUUCACGCCGGGGGCCACUGGAUCCACGUUAUCAGGCCGCACAGAUCCUUGUAAGUGUGGAGGCUUAGCCAUGCGAUGAGCUGAAGGCUCCUUAUUUAGAUGAUUAGUGUGUUAUUGAAACAUUUUGUAUUCAGUGGAAGCAGCAUUGUCUUUUAAUUAGCCGGUCAUCGUCAUUAUUUGUUUUCCACUUAAUUCCCUUUGGCACUUGAGCAGAUAAUGACAUUCAUCCAUAGAAGGAGGAAAUAAAAUCCAGAAAAUAUUAUUAAAAGUUGUCCUCCAUUGUGUUUAAUUUUCUUUUUUAAAUAAUUUAUUAUGUCGGUCGUAUUGAAAAUUGUAGUGAAACACUUGAAGUAGAUUUUUUUUACUGUGACUGUAAGAAGACGCUAUGAACAGCUACUGACAAAAUAUUGAUCUGUUGUUUCAGGGAGAAGCUAAUUUGAUUUAAAAUAUUUAUAUAUGCACACACAUUUCAU